rnacentral:tRNA from 1 species
GGGGGGGUAAGAACCGGGAUGGCACUAUCACAAACGCCGUUUCUGGCUCAGCAGCUUUGAUACCUUUCGCAUUGAAAAUGCGGGUGUCCCCGGUUCAAGUCCGGGUCUCGCCA